AACCAAGGAAUUUAGUCAUUCUUUUAUGGUAAAAAGACAGUUAGGCAAAAAUAUAAUCAUUGGAUCCUUAGUAAAGGAGUAAAAUCUAUAUACUAAAAGUUAUACCGGGUAUGAUUUAUUUAAGAUGCUGAGUCUGUGAUAGCUUUAAGGGAAACUGGGAUUGGAUACCCCAUUAUUUUUAGUUGUAAAUUAGUUUAGGUUUACCGGAGUACUACGAAUAAAAAAGUUUAAAACUCAAAGGGCUUGGCGGUGUUUUAGACCUCUCAGGGGAACCUGUCUCAUAAUCGACAAUCCACGUUAGACCUAACCUUUUAUGGUAACACAGCCUGUAUACCGUCGUCGUCAGGUAACUUUUUAAAAUACAGGAGUUAGCUCGAGAAUUAUAUUAAUUAAAACGUCAGAUCAAGGUGCAGCUAAUGAGAAGGUGAGGAUGGGUUACAAUUAUAUAUUUAUAACUACAGAAAACAUUUGAAAUGAAAUGUCUUAAAGGAGGACUUGAAAGUAAUUUUAAUUAUAUAAAUAAAAUGAAUAAGGCUCUGAAACGUGC
rnacentral:rRNA from 1 species